rnacentral:rRNA from 1 species
UGAGGAAUAUUGGUCAAUGGCCGGGAGGCUGAACCAGCCAAGUCGCGUGAGGGAAGACGGUCCUAUGGAUUGUAAACCUCUUUUGUCAGGGAGCAAAAACUGCUACGCGUGGCAGGAUGAGAGUACCUGAAGAAAAAGCAUCGGCUAACUCCGUGCC